GCAAAAAAUUUAGAAGCAUUGAUAGAUUAUGUUUCUACUAGCAAACAAUGUUGUAUGUGACGAUGAUGAAGCUAUGAUAUAUGGAGCAAAGUUCUUCAACUUUGUUCUCUUGCCAAGUAUGCCACCUUAUAGAUUGGUGUUGAAAGUAGGUGUUCUAGUAAUACUAUUGCACAAUCUUAAUGCAUCAAGAAACUUCUACAAUAGCACAUGUAUUAUCAUUGUCUAUCUUGGUCAAAGAUUAAUUAUUGCUAAGUUCCUUAGUUGGGCUUAUAAAGCUAGGAGAAUAAAUAUUCUACAAAUUACAACUACAUUACAAGGAAAUAGUUAUCCUUUGACAUUUAUGUGACGUCAAUUCUUAAUUCAAUUAACCUUUGUAAUAACAAUCAACAAAGCGCAUAGACAAACUAUAGGUACAAUUUGCAUGCACCUUUAUAACUUUGUAUUUAUCCAUGGUCAAUUUUAUAUUGUUCUUUCUUGAGCCAUAGACGUUGGAGAUAUCUUUGUUUGUUGAGCAAAUAAAAAAUCUACAACAAUAUAUAUAUAUAUAUAUAUAUAUAUAUAUAAAAAAACUUUUCUUUAGUCUUAAAUAGUUUUAAAAACAUUCAAGUGAAAAAAAUAGUAAGCAAAAAUUUAUAAUUGAAUAAAUAACUAAUCGCUACAUGUACAAAAUUUCUAAAUAGAAAUGAGAAAGUAAUUUGAAGUAGAAAGAAAAUAAUUGUUGCACAAUGGCUUGAGAAAAAACAAUUGCAAUAUCCAUAGAAUUUGAGUUAGUCUAUAAGUUUUAGAAGAAAAUUUUAUAUUAAGAUUUUUAAAGCAUACAAUAAAAUAUGAUUACAUGUGCAUAUAUAUAUAUAUAUAUAUACUUUUUCACUUGUAUGUACACUUAAAUUAUUUUUAGCUUACAUAUAAAUGGGAAUAUUUGAUUACUAAGAACUAAUUCAAUAUAAUGAUUCAAAUAACUGAAUUAUCAAAGUGUGACUUUCUAUGUACUUUUGAGUUGUCAACAACUGAUUACCAACAGUAAACUGAUUCUAUCCUUAAAAUCACACAAAUCAAUAGUACCAAGAAUUACUAAUAUACUUCAAUAAUUAUCCUCUGAUGACAAGUAUGGUAAUUUUAGGUUUAUUCUGUAUAAAUGAUAAGUCACCUGUGAAAAGUCAAUUCUUAGGCAACAUAUUGUGAUGAAGCCAGCACAUCAGUUAUCAAGUGUCUCCCUUUAAAUGAGGACAUUCUUGCAUACUCAAAGAUUCUUGUGACAUCAACCCCCUCAUAAUUAAUCAUCUCCAGCAUCAUACAUUAUUCAAUAAUAACAGGGAUUAUUCUGUAGAAAAUCAUUCACAAAUAUUGAAAAAAAGUUACUUCUGUGUGAUUAAACACACAAUGUUACACAGCCACAGAACAUGCUUACUAUCAUUAUUCACACACACACAUUCACACACACAGAUAGAAAUACAUAUAUAUAUAUAUAUAUAUAUAUACAUAUUAACAUAUUUCAUGAAUUGCAGUUUUUCAACAUCUACAAAUGUUAGGGUUAGAGCCAACUUCCCUGACCAGGUAUGAGUGAAUUGGGGAAGUAACUUAGUAGUAAUAGUAGUAUUGGGGGCAGCCAUUGAUGGGGUCCAAUCAUGGCUUGGGAAGUUGUCUCAAAGCUGGACUCCAUUACUCCCCUUGAAUCUGGGGCAAGUGAUUGAGGGUCAUGGAUGAGUUAAUCAAUUAAUUAAUUAUCUAAUUAAGCAGUCAAUGAAUGGGGCAAAAUGGGCUGAAGGGAAUGGGGGUUGACCAUGACUGAGACCAGUCAAUCACAUGAGAAAAUGGGUCCAUGUCAAAGGGUGUUUGUUAUGGGACCAUUGCCCUACCAGAGUGAGUCCAUUCCUCCAACUGGACUUGACAUUGAUUGGAUAUAUACUUCUGACUUCUUCUCUUUCCCUUUUUUUAUUUUAAAAAAUUAAAUUCAAUACGGUGCUCUAGGAAAAUCGAUAUAUCUGUUGGAAACUAGAUGAGUUGACUAAAUUGUUUACCAAUUUGUAAUUUUGAUUGAAAGUGUAAAAGAAAAUUACCCAAAUCCACUUUGCUUUAGCUAAAGAACAUGCUGCAAAAGAAAAACAUGACUUUAUCCAAAUAAACAGCAAAUCAUUGUUGAUGAAUAUACUCACACUAAUUGAACUUUAGCUGUGUUGAAAAUUAUAGUGAUUUUUUUCUUUCCCAUAGAAUAAAAUAAUUAAUUGCCCUUAAUAUUCCAAUCAUUGAUGUGAUUGAGAAUCUCUGUCAAAAGCUUCAUGUAUAUUUAUAGAUGUAAUGCCAAAUACCAAGCAAUCAUGUAUAGUAAUCACAUUACCACAAUCAAAAAUCACUCUUCUGAAAAACAAAAAUAUGGUAAUACUGUAUAAUAUUUCAUCAAUUUUCUAUUAAAAAUUUCACUCAAAUGAACACUCUUACUUUUACUGUCUGAGAUAUAAAAAGUCAGUUUUCACUCUCCACAUUUAUUUGCAACAAUAAUUUCAUGAAGCACAGGUCAUUAAAUCAUGCACAACUGACUAUAUUUCUGUUGCAAAUUCAUGUUGAAUUUCAAAUUUUGCACUGAACCAUUUACACAUCCUGCAAAACCAAACAUCAAAUAAUAAAACAAUCAAAUCGUCUAAUAAACACCACCAUCAAGACAUAAUACUGAAACACACAUUGAAUAUGUAC
rnacentral:lncRNA from 1 species